rnacentral:rRNA from 1 species
CGAGUGGCGAACGGGUGAGUAAUAUAUCGGAACGUACCCUAGAGUGGGGGAUAACGUAGCGAAAGUUACGCUAAUACCGCAUACGAUCUACGGAUGAAAGCGGGGGAUCGCAAGACCUCGCGCUCAUGGAGCGGCCGAUAUCUGAUUAGCUAGUUGGUAGGGUAAAAGCCUACCAAGGCAUCGAUCAGUAGCUGGUCUGAGAGGACGACCAGCCACACUGGGACUGAGACACGGCCCAGACUCCUACGGGAGGCAGCAGUGGGGAAUUUUGGACAAUGGGGGCAACCCUGAUCCAGCAAUGCCGCGUGAGUGAAGAAGGCCUUCGGGUUGUAAAGCUCUUUUGUCAGGGAAGAAACGGUUUGGGUUAAUACCUUGAACUAAUGACGGUACCUGAAGAAUAAGCACCGGCUAACUACGUGCCAGCAGCCGCGGUAAUACGUAGGGUGCAAGCGUUAAUCGGAAUUACUGGGCGUAAAGCGUGCGCAGGCGGUUAUGUAAGACAGAUGUGAAAUGCCCGGGCUCAACCUGGGAACUGCAUUUGUGACUGCAUGGCUAGAGUUUGGCAGAGGGGGGUAGAAUUCCACGUGUAGCAGUGAAAUGCGUAGAUAUGUGGAGGAAUACCGAUGGCGAAGGCAGCCCCCUGGGUCAAGACUGACGCUCAUGCACGAAAGCGUGGGGAGCAAACAGGAUUAGAUGCCCUGGUAGUCCACGCCCUAAACGAUGUCUACUAGUUGUCGGGUCUUAAUUGACUUGGUAACGCAGCUAACGCGUGAAGUAGACCGCCUGGGGGAGUACGGUCGCAAGAUUAAAACUCAAAGGAAUUGACGGGGACCCGCACAAGCGGUG